rnacentral:lncRNA from 10 species
GUGCAGUGGUGUGAUCUCGGCUCACUGUGACCUCUGCCUCCUGGGUUUAAGCGAUUCUCCUGCCUCAGCCUCCCGAGUAACUGGGACUACAGGAACACUCUACUGGUAAGGGGAGAAAUGCCUCAAAUGAGCAUGUGCACAACUUCAGUAAACAUGCUGUGCAUGUGGCCCCUCCCAAGUGCCCGCAGGCCACCACACAAGUGGACAGCCCUGGACAGCCCGCCCCUAGGGAAGAAUCAAGGGAGGAGAAACAGAAGCCCUGGAACUGUGCUAGCAUAUAAAACCCCAAGUCAAGGGCUGAAUGGCACACUUGGAUCUCUCAAGUCACCUGCUUGGCCCCCUUCCAAGUGUAUUUACUUCCAUUUGUUCCUGCUCUAAAACUUUUUAAUAAACUUUCACUCCUGCUCU